GCCCUUUUAGCUCAGUGGUAGAGCACUGGUCUCGUAAACCAGGGGUCGUGAGUUCAAACCUCACAGAGGGCA
rfam:Musca domestica strain aabys unplaced genomic scaffold Scaffold19076, whole genome shotgun sequence.